rnacentral:rRNA from 1 species
AACGAACGCUGGCGGCAGGCUUAACACAUGCAAGUCGAGCGCCCCGCAAGGGGAGCGGCAGACGGGUGAGUAACACGUGGGAAUCUACCCAUCCCUACGGAACAACUCCGGGAAACUGGAGCUAAUACCGUAUACGCCCUUUGGGGGAAAGAUUUAUCGGGGAUGGAUGAGCCCGCGUUGGAUUAGCUAGUUGGUGGGGUAAAGGCCUACCAAGGCGACGAUCCAUAGCUGGUCUGAGAGGAUGAUCAGCCACAUUGGGACUGAGACACGGCCCAAACUCCUACGGGAGGCAGCAGUGGGGAAUAUUGGACAAUGGGCGCAAGCCUGAUCCAGCCAUGCCGCGUGAAUGAUGAAGGCCUUAGGGUUGUAAAGUUCUUUCACCGAUGAAGUUAAUGACGGUAGUCGGAGAAGGAGCCCCGGCUAACUUCGUGCCAGCCGCCGCCGUAA